rnacentral:rRNA from 1 species
UUAAACGGCCGCGGUAUCCUAACCGUGCGAAGGUAGCGUAAUCACUUGUCUACUAAAUAUAGACUAGUAUGAAUGGCACCACGAGGGUUCCACUGUCUCCCAACUUUAAUCAGUUAAACUGAUCUCCCCGUGCAGAAGCGGGGAUCCCAUUAUAAGACGAGAAGACCCCAUGGAGCUUUAAACAUAAAGUCAACUGCUACACUAGUUACCAAAAUAAUACAGCAACAAUGACCUAAGUUUUCGGUUGGGGCGACCACGGAGAACAACAAAACCUCCAUGAUGAAUGAACAUUAAAUUCUUACCCAAGAGCCACAUCUCAAAGGAUCUCAAUUGUGACAUCUCUUGACCCAAGCCACUUGAUCAACGAACCUAGUUACCCUGGGGAUAACAGCGCAAUCCAUUUCAAGAGCCCCUAUCGACAAAUGGGUUUACGACCUCGA